rnacentral:misc_RNA from 1 species
GCUGAUUUGUGGUUAUUAGAAAAAUGUUAUGGCCAUGGGUUUGCGUUAGGCUGAAAAUGGACUAGCUAGGAAAUAUAGACUUUAUUAUGAAUGAUACAGUAGAUUGCAUUUCAAAAUCAGCGUUUCAUUUCAGAAGAAAAUUUUACAAGGCGAGACUCUAUUUGCCAAAUGAAACUACAUAUUAUGUGCAAAAUUGCCUAACCUUUAAAAGAGAAAAACAAGUCACCAAAGUCACCAGAAAAUAGCUAUUUGGUAAUGGACGAUACCAAAUUCAAAGGUGGUCUAAUUAUUUUCUGAAAUUCCGAAAAAAUUAAAUAUAUCAUAAAAAUGAACGCUUUUACACGUGCCACUUCACAUUAUCACUAACCUGUAUUGUACAGCUAGACUAGCUAGUCAGUCAGCUGUCAGUCCUCGUCAUACCCAGUGUCCCCACCUGUAUACACAUAUCACCAUUUUCCACCGUUGAUACCAAACCGCCGCCACAACCAUCACUGCUGCUCUUGCUAUUCAUCUCAAAAAACCGAAUCCCUCUGCAAACAGGGCAAGUCACGUGCAUUUUAAGCCACGUGUCAAUACAUUCCAGGUGGAACACGUGCUUGCAGUAUGGUAUUAUUUUGACGGUGUCUUUCUCCUCAAACUCACCCAAGCAAAUAGCGCACUCAAUUUGGUACUUUGCAUCCUCAUGGUAAUAAGAAUACACCGGCAAUGACCUGAUAACUUGUGGGUCGAGCCCUUUGCUUGAACCUGACGCUGCCCUUGAUUGACGGACGGGAGUUGUCGGGUUGUUGCGACGGUGAGAAGAGAAAUCCGGUGUUGGGUCGGUGGAGAACUUCCGGAGGUAGAUGGAGAAGAAGCCCAUGAAGAAAAGAGCUGCUAAUAGGACAAGAACGGUUAAGGCCAUAGACGAGUCAAAGGGUGGAUGAGAAUAUUGCUGUUGUGACGAUGGCUGCGGCGUCGGUGGUGGUGGUGGUGGUGACAUGAUGAUGGGUUUCUUUAACGGCGGUGGUGGUGAGGCGGAGGUGGAAUUGUGAAGGGUGUUAAGGGGUUGGAACGACGUGUUGUAUGAAACUUGUAGUUUGCGGCUGUGAGAUUUCAUUGAAGGCUGAGAAGUAACAAGAAAAGCCAUGUGUAUCUGAUGGGCAAUAGAUAGAGAGAGUGAUGGUGGUGUUGGUGGAGGAGGACUGGACAAGAAGGGCGGUCAGGGGGGUGGCGAGAGUGAUGCUCUACUAGAGAUGUGUCCAGAUUCUCCAGAAGGCCAAUGUAGA